rnacentral:rRNA from 1 species
UACGUAGGGGGCAAGCGUUGUCCGGAUUAUUGGGCGUAAAGAGCGUGUAGGCGGCUUGGUAGGUCCGCUGUGAAAACUCGAGGCUCAACCUCGAGAUGUCGGCGGAAACCACUUGGCUAGAGUCCGGAAGAGGAGAGUGGAAUUCCUGGUGUAGCGGUGAAAUGCGCAGAUAUCAGGAAGAACACCUAUGGCGAAGGCAGCUCUCUGGGACGGUACUGACGCUGAGACGCGAAAGCGUGGGGAGCAAACAGG